CCGGCUUAGCCCCCCAGCUCCGCUGAGGAGCCAGACGUUCCAGCCCCAUCCUCUCCUGGUCCCCGGCCGCUUGGCGGCGGCACGCGCGUGCGGGGUGACACCGCGGCGGCCCAGGAGGCGCUGCUGAGCCCCGGUCCCCGAAGCCCCGGGGCGGCGCCCCUCCGCCCGGCCGCGCUCCAGGCCCAGAUGCCGGACGCCGCGCUCAGGACACAGACCCCACUCUGCAGCAGCCUGCCGCUGCCGGCAGCCAGGGCCUCCUUCCAACUCCAGCGCAAAUUUUUCGAACGUAAGAGAAGAAUACAGUCAUUAUCGGAGGUGGAGACAUUCAGAAGUUGUUCUUAAUCAGAGUGAAGCUUGUGCUUUGGAAAGUCAGCCUCACGCCUCAGCACGCACAGCAGCUGGUUCUCCAGGUUCCUCCUGGAUGAAGAAUUAGUUUCCAGCCCCCCUUUACCCUCUGACAAGUUGGAAGGAUACGUCAGCAUCUCUUAAAAGACUAGGAAGGUCAGAUUGGGGAGGGGUAUGAGCAAAUCCUCUCUACCAAUAUGAAUUUUUGUGAAAUUCACACAAAACGGGAGGAGGUCAACAAGCUGUGGGUCCUGAAGGUUUUUUGCAUAUCUGGGUAGGAGGUUUGACCUCAAGAGAUUUCUGCUGUACACUUUUGUAACUGGUUUGACAUAUUUCGGCUCCAACUUUGCAUCCUGAGAACACUUAAACGUUUCUGCAGGCUCAUUUUAUACAACCUGAAAGAGCUUAAAAGUUUCUGGUUGCCACAAGCAUAUCUUUCUUUUCUGCACAUCCAAGAGACAGCUGUGCCCUGCUGGGAUAGAUUUUCCAAACAAAAAUACCCGGAGCAGCAGUUUGGGAAAUAUGCCUUCAGCGGCGCUCCACAGAUGGGGUUUCCGGAAGCACAGUACUAGUAUUACUGUUUGCUUAUAAAUGGACGUAUUCACUGCACAAAGACAAAUGUUCUCAUGCUGAGCAGAAGAGAGAUCUGGUGUUGCCUGGUCCUGCCGGAGCCCUCCGGCCCAUCACCUCCUGCCAGCCUUCCAUGCGUACCUUGCCAUGAAAAGGGAAAGAAGCUGUUUCCAAAUUCGUGAUGAAUCUUACAAUCAAUGGUAUCUGCACAAGUGUCUGUACUUUCCAAAUACAUUGAAUAAGCUCCUUUUAACUUCUUUCUUUCUUUACUGAGACCCCACAAGAGAGUGUGUUAAUCACAUUAAUAUUAUUGGUACUAGAACCGUGACCUAAGCUUACAAGUCACCUUCAAACAAAUUUUAUGCAGCCAAGAAUUAGGCUUUAACUGCCACCAUAAAGCUUGCCUUAAGGGAAAACACUCUUGAUAAAAAUCUAAAUACACGCAAAUCAAAGAGUCUACUUUUCCACUGCAAUUAUUUGUCUCAGUUUCUCAGUAGUAACUAAUCUGCUAAUUAGAACUAACAAACCUUGGAUUCUGAAAUGGACUUCCAAAGUUUUUGUGCAACUAAAUGACCAGCAAUAAAGGACCUGGCUGUAAUUGCAAAGCUGAAUUAUUAACACAUGCUCUUCUUUUCUUUAUUCUGGAAAAUGUAAAGUUUUGCCCCAAUUUAGGAUGCCUAAUCAGCUGUUAUAAAAGUUUCUUGAUCAAAAAAUUGGUUUAUAUUUUGGAUUUUAUCUGAAAUAAUAUAAAUAUGACUUGGUAUAAUGAAAGAGUAAUGAUUGAAAUAAUUGACAUUAACCAUGAUUCCAUAGAUUUGAGGGUCUGCCUUGUUUUGUAAACCUGGUCAUCAAUUCUCCUGAACGUUAUCAGUUAAAAAACAGAAAAAAGAUAUGACCAUUUUACAAAGACAACUAUCCAACUAAGGACCUUGGGUUCUGAAUCAAAUGUCUCUCCUCCAGUAUAAGAAAGACCGAUCCAGGUAGAAGUGUCUGUAUGAAGAGACAUACAUAUAUAAAUUAAGAGACAUACAUAUAUAAAUGCUGUGAUUUUUGCUAUAUAUGUAAAUGUAAUAAAAACUGUAUCAUUCUUGGGGUAUCGUUAACCAUUAAAGUCCAAAUUCAGACUUGACCGAGUGAAGAGAAAUCGUAAGCAAUUAUCCAGCAGUGGGAAAAGACAGAACUCGGCACUGCAAAAUCUGGGGUGAAGUCCCUACUCAGUCCCUUAUUAACUCAGAGAACUUGGGUUAGUCACCUAAUCCCUCUAAGGCUCAUUUUCCACAUCUGUCAAUUAAGAAUAAUAUGUUGCUUGAGAGGGUGUUUGGGGAUUCAAAUGACAUAAUGGAAACGUAUAUACUUUGUAAAUUAUAAAAUGCUCUACAAAUGUUAUUUAAAGACAUUUAAAAAAAUAAAAUCUGAGACAACUUCCUGGCUGA